rnacentral:rRNA from 1 species
UACGUAGGGACCAAGCGUUGUUCGGAUUUACUGGGCGUAAAGGGCGCGUAGGCGGCUUAACAAGUCACUUGUGAAAUCUCCGGGCUUAACUCGGAACGGCCAAGUGAAACUGUCAAGCUAGAGUGCAGAAGGGCAAUCGGAAUUCUUGGUGUAGCGGUGAAUGCGUAGAUAUCAAGAGGAACACCUGAGGUGAAGACGGGUUGCUGGGCUGACACUGACGCUGAGGCGCGAAAGCCAGGGAGCAAACGGG